rnacentral:rRNA from 1 species
UAUUGCGCAAUGGGGGAAACCCUGACGCAGCAACGCCGCGUGAGUGAGGAAGGUCUUCGGAUUGUAAAACUCUUUUAUUUGGGAAAAAUGUCUUUGUGGCUAAUAUCCAUGAAGAGUGAUGGUACCAAAGGAAUAAGCACCGGCUAACUUCGUGCCAGCAACCGCGGUAAUACGAAGGGUGCAAGCGUUGUUCGGAAUCAUUGGGCGUAAAGCGCGCGCAGGCGGAUCAGCAAGUCAGAUGUGAAAUCUCGAAGCUCAACUUCGAAACUGCGUCUGAAACUGCUAGUCUAG